UACGUAGGGUGCAAGCGUUGUCCGGAAUUAUUGGGCGUAAAGAGCUCGUAGGCGGUUCGUCACGUCGGCUGUGAAACCCCGAGGCUCAACCUCGGGUCUGCAGUCGAUACGGGCGGACUUGAGUACUGCAGGGGAGACUGGAAUUCCUGGUGUAGCGGUGAAAUGCGCAGAUAUCAGGAGGAACACCGGUGGCGAAGGCGGGUCUCUGGGCAGUAACUGACGCUGAGGAGCGAAAGCGUGGGGAGCGAACAGG
rnacentral:rRNA from 1 species